ACCGUGGUAGCACAGUUAGUAGUGGCGUUGGCUGGCUGUACAUACAUAUGCCGAAGGUAGCAAGUUCAAACCCUGCCUGCGGUG